UAUUGAUGAUACGCAGAUCUUAAACAGUAGUUGGUGAUCAUGGAAGUUUUACCGUUAGUUCUUGUACUCUAUUUCAUCGGACUUGUAUCCAGUGCAAGUAUACCAAGCCAUGAUACGAGAUCAUUGCGGCCAGGACCAAGCAGAUCCAAUCAGUGUUCCUUUAAAGGGGAGCUGUACGAUAUCGACGAGCUUUUUAAACUUGAUUGUGAUGCUUGUGGAAAUUGCGCAAAUUGUCAAUGUUGGAGAAAUGAUCAGAAUAAUCCAAUUGUAACGUGUUUCUCAAACUUUGUGGGCUGUAUCACAUUAGAAUAAAAGUGUUACAUUGAAA